GUCGCGAUUCAGACGUGUUUGGCAAAAUUAUUCCCAGUAUUGAUUAUUCUUUGAAUAGGAGGAUAAUAGGAUAAGUGCUAAGGUCACGGAGUACAGCGAAGGUGGAAGCUGAUACAGUUGGCGUUGUCCGUCACCAAGAUGUCACCACUGCACCACCUGCGUGUGGCCACUGCAGCGACGGCCCGGUGUAGCGAUGAUACCACAUUUGCUGUGAUGGCAGUUUGGUUGGACAAUUCUAGACUGCGAACUACCCGGCUUCGGAAGUACCAAAUCGAGUGGAGUUACAAUAACACUAAUUAAUUGUAGAUUAUUUAAAGCGUUUCUUAAUAGCUGUUAAUGGUCGCAAAAUUUAUUAAAUAAA